rnacentral:rRNA from 1 species
AGGACGGACGCUGGCGGCGUGCUUAACACAUGCAAGUCGAACGAGGCCUUGUGCCUAGUGGCGAACGGGUGAGUAACACGUGAGCAACCUGCCCCUGGCUCUGGGAUAGCCUCCGGAAACGGGGAUUAAUACCGGACAUGACCUGCCUCCGCAUGGCGGCGGGUGGAAAGUUUUUCGGCCGGGGAGGGGCUCGCGGCCUAUCAGCUUGUUGGGGGGGUAACGGCCCACCAAGGCGACGACGGGUAGCC